UACUUUUUUUUUUUUUAGUUAUAGAUAAACGCAAUACCUUAUUUAUUUUAUGUGGUGCUGAGGAUCGAACCCAGUGCCUCACACGUGCCAGGCAAGCGCUCCACCACUGAGCCACAACCCCAGCCCUUGUGUUGUUUUUGACACAGUAAUGAGACAAAUUAAGAAACUUUGAGUGCUUGCUUCAGCAGCAUAUAUACUAAAAUUGGAACGAUACAGAGAAGAUUAGCAUGGCCCCUGCGCAAGGAUGACACUCAAAUUCGUGAAGCGUUCCAUAUUUAAAAAAAAAAAAAAGAAAGAAAGAAACUUUGAAUUCACUUCCAGAAAAUAGUUCUUGGUCUACAGCAGGUCAAACUUGACAAUGUGGCAAGUUGUAAGUCCUGAACUUUUGAGUGGAAGGAAUAUAAAAUUCACAUGGUGUGGCUUUUGUAGUCUAGAGGCACCGAGUGUCCACAUGUACAUAAACACAUCCGUUUGCUUGUAGACAGGCCCCCAGCAGAGCGGAGCCAUAAACAAAUGGAGUGAAAUGUGAGAUGGUGAAGAACAGGUUGGACACCAAGCCCCCACGCUGAUUGCCUCUGGGGCAUUAUCUUGGUUUUGUCCCUCUGUCAGGUGAAACCCAUGCCCUCUCUGGAGCUGCAGCCUCAGAGGCCCUCAGGCUCUGGGCAGGUGGUAGGUGCAGGGGGCUGUGGAAGCUAGAGAGCUCUGACCCCGGGAAGCAGGCCCCUGGGGAAAGAGCCUAUUUUUGUAGAAAUCAGACAGACUUUAUAUGAAAUCCACUUACUGGUUGGCAACUCCCUGACCACCUGUGGCCACACAGGGUGCUGUGACGGUUCUAGUGUGGGCAGAGGGGCGCAUCCUAUGGUCUGGCAGAGGGUUUCCUUCCACUUGAGUUUUCAUGAAGCUUUGGUUUAUGAUUGUGACCUCGCUCUCACAGAACGUUUGUCACAGAUAACGUUUUUUUCAUUUCAUCAGGUCUUAGAGGAAAGAGUGUUUAUGGUCCUACUUUAUCCUGUCAUCCUUACCCAGAUCCUAGAUGUCCUUUUUUUUCCUCUCUCUUUUCCUUUUGUGUGUGGGUGUGUGUGUGAGAGAGACAGAGAGAGAGAAAGACACUGAAGCCAGGGGCGCUCCACCCCUGAGGUAUAUCCCUAACAUUUUUUAUUUUUUAUUGACUGUCUCACUGAGUUGCCCAGGCUGGCCUUGAACUCAGCAACCCUCCUGCCUCAAGCCUCCUGAGUCUUUGGAUGACAGGUGUGCAUCACCACACCCGGCCACAGUCAUCC
rnacentral:lncRNA from 1 species